rnacentral:rRNA from 1 species
CACGUAGGGGCCAAGCGUUGUCCGGAUUUAUUGGGCGUAAAGAGCUCGUAGGCGGUUCGACAAGUCGGGUGUGAAAACUCCGGGCUCAACCCGGAGACGCCACCCGAUACUGUCGUGACUGGAGUCCGGUAGGGGAGUGGGGAAUUCCUGGUGUAGCGGUGAAAUGCGCAGAUAUCGGGAGGAACACCAAUGGCGAAGGCAGCUUGCUGGGACGGUACUGACGCUGAGGCGCGAAAGCGUGGGGAGCAAACAGG